CCCAGACUCCUACGGGAGGCAGCAGUGGGGAAUAUUGCACAAUGGGGGAAACCCUGAUGCAGCAACGCCGCGUGGGUGAAGAAGUAUUUCGGUAUGUAAAGCCCUAUCAGCAGGGAAGAGAAUGACGGUACCUGACUAAGAAGCCCCGGCUAACUACGUGCCAGCAGCCGCGGUAAUACGUAGGGGGCAAGCGUUAUCCGGAUUUACUGGGUGUAAAGGGAGCGUAGACGGUUGUGCAAGUCUGAAGUGAAAGCCCGCGGCUCAACUGCGGAACGGCUUUGGAAACUGUGUAACUGGAGUGCUGGAGAGGUAAGCGGAAUUCCUGGUGUAGCGGUGAAAUGCGUGGAGAUCAGGAGGAACACCAGUGGCGAAGGCGGCCUGCUGGACUGCAACUGACGUUGAGGCUCGAAGGCGUGGGGAGCAAACAGGAUUAGAUACCCCCGUAC
rnacentral:rRNA from 1 species